rnacentral:misc_RNA from 2 species
AAGAAAUUUAAUAAUUUUGAAAAUGGAUUUUUUUUUUUUUUGUUUUGGCAAGAGCAUGAGAGCUUUUACUGGGCAAGAAGACAAGAGAUGGAGAGUCCAGCCGGGCCUGCGCUUAAGUGCGCGGUCUUGCUAGGCUUGUAAGUUUCUUUCUUGCUAUUCCAAACGGUGAGAGAUUUCUGUGCUUUUGUUAUAGGACAAUUAAAACCGUUUCAAUACAACACACUGUGGAGUUUUCAUAUCUUUGCAACUUUUUCUUUGGGCAUUCGAGCAAUCGGGGCCCAGAGGUUAACAAACACAAACAAUUUUAUCUAUUCAUUAAAUUUUUGUCAAAAACAAGAAUUUUCGUAACUGGAAAUUUUAAAAUAUUAAAAACUUUCAACAACGGAUCUCUUGGUUCUCGCAUCGAUGAAGAACGCAGCGAAAUGCGAUACGUAAUGUGAAUUGCAGAAUUCCGUGAAUCAUCGAAUCUUUGAACGCACAUUGCGCCCCUUGGUAUUCCAGGGGGCAUGCCUGUUUGAGCGUCAUUUCCUUCUCAAACAUUCUGUUUGGUAGUGAGUGAUACUCUUUGGAGUUAACUUGAAAUUGCUGGCCUUUUCAUUGGAUGUUUUUUUUUUCCAAAGAGAGGUUUCUCUGCGUGCUUGAGGUAUAAUGCAAGUACGGUCGUUUUAGGUUUUACCAACUGCGGCUAAUCUUUUUUAUACUGAGCGUAUUGGAACGUUAUCGAUAAGAAGAGAGCGUCUAGGCGAACAAUGUUCUUAAAGU